CUCGGCAACGGAUAUCUCGGCUCUUGCAAUCCGUGAAGAACGUGCGAAUUGCGAUACUUGGUGUGUAAUUGGCAGAAUCCCCGGAACAUCGAUUCUUUGAAACGCAAGUUUGCGCCCGAAGCCACUAGGCCGAGAGGCACACGCCUGCCUGGGUGUC
rnacentral:rRNA from 1 species